GCAUUUUGGACCCAGAAUUCGUGUGCAGCGCAACAUUUUGCCACUCAAGCAAAAUGCCUUUCUUUUUAGCAUUUUAAAAUCGUCCGUAUUCGGACUGUCAUAUUCCAAGAUUGCCAUGCAUUCCAAUACGAAAAAUCCUCAAUUCCGAGUUGGAACAUAGCCUACUCGCAAUGCGGAAUCGCGGGCUCCCAAUUUUCCUCUGCUUACAGGGUAGAAAAAAAAUAUUUUCUUUAUUGGUGUUCAACAAUAAAAUUUUGAACCAAUCUUUGCUGACAUCUUACUGAAUAUGAAGAUAUUUGUAACUAACUUCCUUUUGUUAUUUAUAUCUGCACUGAGACUGUGUUAAAAAAGUUGAAUGGUUCAUUGAUUUUUUAACAGCGUCACCCUCACACUAUAAGCUCUGACUUUCCCACCACUUUACUGUUCAUUCAUAUAUUUAAUUCAAGAUGGCCGCCACUAACUGAUUCAAAGGAAUUCUUGGAAUUUACGCCAAUAUUUGUUACUAUGGCUACUACAUUCUUACACAUGUCAAAAAUAUAAAAGUUUAUUAUUUUUUCUGAAAGAAAAAUACAAUGAAUAUACUACGAGAUGGUAAAUUAGUAAAAAAGAAUCAAGCAAAAAUGAGACAAAAACCAUUUGAGAAAUCUACAUGGAUUGAUAUUAAAACCAACUUUAAUGAAAGAGGUCUUGUUUAAUAAAAAAUCAUUUUUGGAAAGCAGAUUUUUCAAACUGUCAGUGAGUGUCGUUAAUUGAUUUGUGAAAGGAAACAAACAGAAAUUUAAUUUCCCGAAAACGAAGAAAUAAAUUCUUCAAUUUGAAGAAUUUCAGCAUGGCUGCGAAAAAAUUUUUCGCCGAACUUUUUGGUAGUAAAAAUCAAGUGCAAAUUACCGCAGAAGUGAACGAUGAGAAGCGCCGUUUUUCCAUUUCGAAUUCAGGACGUUUUCGUCAGAGAAACAAGCGUCGAAAUGAAUUACAAAAAGACACUUUCUCACCGCACAAUCCGAUUGCCAUUGAUUGUGGUAAAGAAGUGGAGAGAAAUUUUCAACAAAGCGAGAAUGUUUAAAGAUUCAAUGAGAUGCAGUAAAGGACAAGUUUUUUUUUUGAUAAUCGGUAUACAAUAAUUGCGUGUAAUAUAUAUGGACAGUAUAAAAGUUAUUUAUUUUCAUUAAAAUUCAUUUUUAUCAACAAAUAAAUAUUUAAUAUAAAUUAU